GGCGGAAUGGCAGAGUGGUGAUGCAUGAGAUUGCAAAUUUCAACACCCUAGUUCGAUUCUAGGUUUCCGCCUCCA
rnacentral:tRNA from 1 species